CCUACGGGAUGCACCAGUUGGGAAUAUUGGGCAAUGGGCGGAAGCCUGACCCAGCGACGCCGCGUGAGGGAAGAAGGCCUUUGGGUCGUAAACCUCUGUUGUAUGGGAAGAAGGAAGUGACGGUACCCGAGGAGGAAGCCCCGGCUAACUACGUGCCAGCAGCCGCGGUAAUACGUAGGGGGCGAGCGUUGUCCGGAAUGACUGGGCGUAAAGGGCUCGUAGGCGGUAACUCAAGUCAGUUGUGAAAACCGACGGCUUAACCGGAGGAUUGCAGUUGAUACUGGGUUACUUGAGGCAAGGAGAGGUAGGCGGAAUUCCCGGUGUAGCGGUGAAAUGCGUAGAUAUCGGGAAGAACACCAGUGGCGAAGGCGGCUGACUGGACUGACCCUGACGCUGAGGUGCGAAAGCGUGGGUAGCAAACAGGAUUAGAUACCCCUGUA
rnacentral:rRNA from 1 species